AUAAAGACAGUUUAAUAGGACAGAAAGGAAGAAAAUAAUAAUGAUAGUAAUAAUUAUUAUAAUAAAAUUACAAUAGUGAUAAUAAAAGGAUUGGGAUAUACAAAACAAGCAAUGCACAAUGCAAUUGCUCACCAACCGAUGCCCAGUUAGUUCCUGAGCAGCAUUCUGCACUCCCCAGGCCAACUUCCCCUAGUUUAUAUACUGGGCAUGACGUCACAUGGUAUGGAAUAUUCCUUUGGCCAGUUUGGGUCAGCUGUCCUGGCUGUGUCCCCUCCCAACUUCUUGUGCCCCUCCAGCCUUCUUGCUGGCUGGGCAUGAGAAGCUGAAAAAUCCUUGACUUAGUCUAAAAACUACUUAGCAAGAACUGAAAAUAUCAGUGUGUUAUCAACAUUAUUCUCAUACUAAAUCCAAAACAUAACACUGUACCAGCUACUAGGAAGAAAAUUAACUCUAUCCCAGCUGAAACCAGGACACUCACAAGUGGCGGGAUCGUAAUAGUCUGCCCCACAGUGACAGUCAAAACCCCUGACUUCAAACAGAACCACAUGUAAGAAAAUGGUCAUGAGUUGGACGAACGGGUCUCACAGGAUGUUUGUUCCCAAAUGUGAUGGAUUGUCACUGAAAAAUCCCAGCCUGGCCUGACAGUCAGUCAGACACAGAGUUCUGCACACAGUAGUUGUCAGUGAACCAUGAGGACCUUUCUGUCCUCACAGAGCAUGAAUCCCCAGAUAAAAUACAAGUUCUCUGGGUUUUGUCUUUCAGUCAUGGUAGCCAAGUGCAUUUGUUUUAGGAUUCAGAAGUAAAGCAUCAAGGUGAAAGAAAGGAAUGUUGUAUGGCCAAAGUAUAAGGUAGAUGAUUGUUAGGUAUGUCGCCUCUAGGCUUGCUUACCUUUCUCUUGCAUGGCUUCAAAUGGUCUUUCUGAAUUUGCAAGACUGUUUCUCAGCUUGUCCUGUUCUACACCUGCAUGUUAGAUAGGGGUUACCAAGCAUGCUGAGAUGAUUUGCGCCCUACUGAGGGACUUGGCCAGAGAAUUGCAUCAUGGUCCUGCUGUCAUCUCCUGUUCCUCUGCAUCUGCCCCACCUGCCUUCUGUGUAUGGGGCUCCAGGUGCUGACUGAAGACCGUGAAUAUUUUUGCUGUUUCCUCACCAACAAAUUUUCUGUUCUAGAAAGAUGGCAAAACAGAACAUUGAAUUCACCGAGACAAUUUCAGAAAGAACUGCAAUUUACGUCUUAACCAGCAGAUGUUGCUGUUAGACCAAAAAACGACUCAAGGUCAGUUCAGGUGGGUUAGGACUGUAUUUCAGAGAGUUUCAACAGUUCCGGUAUUUUAUCCAGCAUCUCCAGAUCUGGUCCCUUGAGAUUGGGAGACCCCCUUUUACAGCCAUGGACAUGCAACACUAGGUGACUGUGCUGAGACACAGACCUCUGAGUGAAUCUGACUCCAAGCAAAAAACCAACACCACCGCCACCACAAUCACAACCUCCCUCAGUCUUGUGAUUAAGUGGGUUAUUGGCUGUCAGAGUUUUUAAUAAAUUUUUUAUAAAUACUGGAAAGCUUCACUUCAUAUACAGUAUUUGUCUCGCUAUUGAUGAAUGUGGGGUUAUUCAUCAAGUCUUACAUAAAAUAGCACGCUUGUCAAUGUUGCUAAGAUGCGUGUCGAAGAUAAAAGUUAUUGACAUUUUAGAAAGAAAAUGUGUGUUUAAUGCUGUGCUGACUGUACUAUUGGGAAAACCCUGAGGUUUUCUGUCGCCCUGUGGUUACGGAAUAGGUCAGUUUUCACAAUUAAACUUGCAACGUUAAGGUCUUUA